rnacentral:rRNA from 1 species
AGUAACGGCGAGUGAAGCGGCAACAGCUCAAAUUUGAAAUCUGGCCCCCCCCGGGGGGCCCGAGUUGUAAUUUGCAGAGGAUGCUUUGGGCGAGGCGCCUUCCGAGUUCCCUGGAACGGGACGCCACAGAGGGUGAGAGCCCCGUCUGGUCGGACGCCGAGCCUCUGUAAAGCUCCUUCGACGAGUCGAGUAGUUUGGGAAUGCUGCUCAAAAUGGGAGGUAUAUGUCUUCUAAAGCUAAAUACCGGCCAGAGACCGAUAGCGCACAAGUACAGUGAUGGAAAGAUGAAAAGCACCUUGAAAAGGGGGUUAAACAGUACGUGAAAUUGUUGAAAGGGAAGCGCUCGU